rnacentral:rRNA from 1 species
AGAGUUUGAUCCUGGCUCAGAACGAACGCUGGCGGCAGGCCUCAAACAUGCAAGUCUAGGGGGGUAGCAAUACCCACCGGCGGACGGGUGCGUAACGCGUGGGAACAUACCUUUCGGUACGGAACAACUGCGGGAAACUGCAGCUAAUACCGUAUACGCCCUUACGGGGAAAGAUUUAUCGCCGAAGGAUUGGCCCGCGUUCGAUUAGCUAGUUGGUGAGGUAAAAGCUCACCAAGGCUACGAUCGAUAGCUGUUCUGAGAGGAAGAUCAGCCACACUGGGACUGAGACACGGCCCAGACUCCUACGGGAGGCAGCAGUUGGGAAUCUUGGACAAUGGGGGAAACCCUGAUCCAGCCAUGCCGCGUGAGUGAUGAAGGCCUUCGGGUUGUAAAACUCUUUCGACGGGGACGAUAAUGACGGUACCCGUAGAAGAAGCUCCGGCUAACUUCGUGCCAGCAGCCGCGGUAAUACGAAGGGGGCUAGCGUUGUUCGGAAUUACUGGGCGUAAAGCGCGCGCAGGCGGUCUUCCAAGUCAGUGGUGAAAGCCUGGAGCUCAACUCCAGAACUGCCAUUGAAACUGUUAGACUUGAGUACGAGAGAGGUGAGUGGAAUUCCCAGUGUAGAGGUGAAAUUCGUAGAUAUUGGGAAGAACACCAGUGGCGAAGGCGGCUCACUGGCUCGUAACUGACGCUCAGGCGCGACAGCGUGGGGAUCAAACAGGAUUAGAUACCCUGGUAGUCCACGCGGUAAACGAUGGGUGCUAGCCGUUGGGGGGAUACCUCUCAGUGGCGCAGCUAACGCGUUAAGCACCCCGCCUGGGGAGUACGGUCGCAAGAUUCAAACUCAAAGAAAUUGACGGGGGCCCGCACAAGCGGUGGAGUAUGUGGAUUAAUUCGAUGCAACGCGAAGAACCUUACCUGGCCUUGACAUGCAUAUAGUAGAAGGGUGAAAGCCUGACGAGGUAGCAAUACCAGUAUGCACAGGUGCUGCAUGGCUGUCAUCAGCUCGUGUCGUGAGAUGUUGGGUUAAGUCCCGCAACGAGCGCAACCCCUGCGUCCAGUUGCCACCUAUUCGUAAGAAUGGAGCACUUUGGACGGACUGCCUCAUUUAAAUGAGGAGGAAGGUGGGGAUGACGUCAAGUCAGUAUGGCCCUUACGGCCAGGGCUGCACACGUACUACAAUGCCCGGCACAAAGGGAAGCAAGACCGUAAGGUGGAGCAAAUCCCAGAAAACCGGGCCCAGUUCAGAUUGUCGUCUGCAACUCGACGGCAUGAAGCUGGAAUCGCUAGUAAUGGCGCAUCAGCUACGGCGCCGUGAAUACGUUCCCAGGCCUUGUACACACCGCCCGUCACAUCAUGAAAGCCGGUUGUACCCGAAGUCGCCCCUUAAAAGGUGCCGAAGGUAUGGCUGGUGAUUGGGAUGAAGUCGUAACAAGGUA